GCUUAUUGGGACGAAUACAUGCUUGCGGUACUUGUCGAUUUUUGUUAUAAAAUAAAAGCCUCAGAUGGCUAUUGUUAUGUUACCCGUCACAUACUUACUUUUACAAAUUUAAAAAUGUUUUCUUAUUGAGCUAGAAUUAGCUAGCAAGAAAAUCUAGAAAAAAAUAGUAGAAGAACUAUUGGGCUUUUAUUGGUUCGCUUAAGAACAUGGUAAUUCGCUCAGAUUUAUGGGUAUUUAUUGAAUUUAUUAUGGAUAAUUUUGUUUUAAAUGAAAUUGUAAAAUGGUAGUAAAUAAUAGUUUUGCAUAUUUGAUAUAUUGCAUAUACAGCCGCACGAGAAGAAAAGUGGUCAAAAUACUUACAUCACUAUGUGGUAAAAUCCCGAAGUAAAAAAAAACCAGAAGAGAUAAAAGAAAAAAACGUGGGAAGAAGAGAUUAAGAAAACUUCGAGCACUAUGAAGAAUAAAAGCUGCGAACAGAAAACUAAGGCAAACUCCUCUUGUAUUAGGAUCGAAUUCGUCGUACACGAGCCGCACUUGACUAACAUGACGUGAUAGCAGUACAACUACUAAGAUAUUCUGAGAAGCAAGAUCCGCGGCCGACGCUCUAUUAUUAAAUAGACUAAGGAUCAGCAUACUGCGACUAAUAACCCAGAACCGAUAGCUGAUGGAGCAGACUACUCGAAAGGAUACCUGCAAGCACAAUAAAAUGCAUUUUAUCCAGUGGAUACAAGAUUGAAAUCGAUACCCGGACUGAGCUCACAGAUGACCACAGCUGGACAUAGGCCUCCCCAAGCUUCGCCAUAACGACCGAUCCUGCUCUUCGAGCGAGUCCAACGGACUCCCUUCCUUGACCUUGUGACCUUCAGUAGGUGGACACCUCGUGAGCGGCCAAACCAUGCUUCUUCCGGUACGCGGUCUCUAUUCGAGAAUUUUUCGGCCCGAGCGCCCAUAUAUAUCCUAUCAAC